CCGACUGAGCAUUUCUACAACUUUCUGUGUUUUUUGUUCAAGAUAAAAGUCUCCAGGAAAUAAAUACUCUAAAGCAACGCAAAUUGUCAAAAAACAGCAUGAGAUCGUAUCUGGAUAAGAUGUCCUCUUCGUUUGUAGCUUGAAUAAGCUUCUAGUGCAACUUGCUCAGCACAACAGUCACAAAUACCCCUGUCUCCAUCACUGACACUCGGUAGCAUCAGCAUGUACCAUAGAUAAGACGCACUGCAGAAAUUCACCAAAGUUGUUUAAAGAGCUGCUUCCAGACCCACGGCACGACCAUCUAGAAUGCCUAGCACACCAGAUACAUGGGAACACCACCAGUUGAAAAUUUCACAUCAAGCCACUCUCCACCCUAACUUGGAAAAACAUGUUGGUUCCACAAGUGCCAUUGGUUGAAAAUCAUGGAACCCCUUCCCUUCCAUCAUUGUGGGUUUACCGGCCGCAUAUAGAUAGCAGCAGUUCAGGAAGGCAGCUCACUGACACUUCCUCGGGAUCAGCUAUAUAUGGGCAACAAAUGCCAACCCAGCCAGAAAUGCCACAAUCCAACGUCUCAUUCCCAGAUUUUUGAGAUGAAAUUUCGAAACAGUCACGUGAUGUCCCUCAGCCUAUUGUCAGAGGAAAGUGGAUGCGCCAUCAUGAAAUAAAUAUCAGAUUGGAAUAGACGGAUUGCUGGUGUCUCAGGGAAUCAUGGCAUAUGGGGA